rnacentral:rRNA from 1 species
UACAGAGGUCCCGAGCGUUGUUCGGAUUCACUGGGCGUAAAGGGUGCGCAGGCGGCCAAGUGUGUGAGGCGUGAAAGCCCGGGGCUUAACCCCGGAAUUGCACCUCAAACUACAUGGCUAGAGCAUUGGAGAGGGUAGCAGAAUUCAUGGUGUAGCAGUGAAAUGCGUAGAUAUCAUGAGGAAUACCAGAGGCGAAGGCGGCUACCUGGACAAUUGCUGACGCUCAGGCACGAAAGCGUGGGGAGCAAAAGG